UCCUACGGGGGGCAGCAGUGGGGGAUAUUGCACAAUGGGGGGAACCCUGAUGCAGCGACGCCGCGUGGGUGAAGGAGUGCUUCGGCAUGUAAAGCCCUAUCGGCAGGGAAGAAGCAAGACGGUACCUGAAGAAGAAGCCCCGGCUAACUACGUGCCAGCAGCCGCGGUAAUACGUAGGGGGCAAGCGUUAUCCGGAUUUACUGGGUGUAAAGGGGGCGCAGACGGCGAUGCAAGCCAGGAGUGAAAGCCCGGGGCCCAACCCCGGGACUGCUCUUGGAACUGCGUGGCUGGAGUGCAGGAGGGGG
rnacentral:rRNA from 1 species